rnacentral:miRNA from 12 species
GCUGCACAACGCAGCCCGGAUUCUGUGUGUGCUGCGCUGUGUUCUUAAAAGCCGUAGCACCACAUGAUUCGGCUGCGUGGUCAGC